rnacentral:rRNA from 1 species
AGAGUUUGAUCCUGGCUCAGGACGAACGCUGGCGGCGUGCUUAACACAUGCAAGUCGUACGGUAAGGCCCUUUCGGGGGUACACGAGUGGCGAACGGGUGAGUAACACGUGAGUAACCUGCCCACAACUUUGGGAUAACGCUAGGAAACUGGUGCUAAUACUGGAUAUGUGCUCCUGCUGCAUGGUGGGGGUUGGAAAGCUCCGGCGGUUGUGGAUGGACUCGCGGCCUAUCAGCUUGUUGGUGGGGUAGUGGCCUACCAAGGCGGCGACGGGUAGCCGGCCUGAGAGGGUGACCGGCCACAUUGGGACUGAGAUACGGCCCAGACUCCUACGGGAGGCAGCAGUGGGGAAUAUUGCACAAUGGGCGCAAGCCUGAUGCAGCAACGCCGCGUGCGGGAUGACGGCCUUCGGGUUGUAAACCGCUUUCAGCAGGGACGAAGCUUUUUGUGACGGUACCUGCAGAAGAAGCACCGGCUAACUACGUGCCAGCAGCCGCGGUGAUACGUAGGGUGCGAGCGUUGUCCGGAUUUAUUGGGCGUAAAGGGCUCGUAGGCGGUUGAUCGCGUCGGAAGUGGAAACUUGAUGCUUAACGUUGAGCGUGCUUUCGAUACGGGUUGACUUGAGGAAGGUAGGGGAGAAUGGAAUUCCUGGUGGAGCGGUGGAAUGCGCAGAUAUCAGGAGGAACACCAGUGGCGAAGGCGGUUCUCUGGACCUUUCCUGACGCUGAGGAGCGAAAGCGUGGGGAGCGAACAGGAUUAGAUACCCUGGUAGUCCACGCUGUAAACGGUGGGUACUAGGUGUGGGGUCCAUUCCACGGGUUCCGUGCCGUAGCUAACGCUUUAAGUACCCCGCCUGGGGAGUACGGCCGCAAGGCUAAAACUCAAAGGAAUUGACGGGGCCCCGCACAAGCGGCGGAGCAUGCGGAUUAAUUCGAUGCAACGCGUAGAACCUUACCUGGGUUUGACAUGGAUCGGGAGUGCUCAGAGAUGGGUGUGCCUCUUUUGGGGUCGGUUCACAGGUGGUGCAUGGCUGUCGUCAGCUCGUGUCGUGAGAUGUUGGGUUAAGUCCCGCAACGAGCGCAACC